UAGAUUAAAUUGGUUCAAAGACCAUACGGUU
rnacentral:piRNA from 1 species